UCAGCGGCACACGACUGGCGCAGGUGGGCAACCACCAGGGAGUGACGAGUCGGCAUCGAUCGCCUGGGUGCCCUCA
rfam:Nocardioides sp. Root614 contig_1, whole genome shotgun sequence.